UGAUUCUAUUGGAAAAUUUGUUCUCUUGUGUGACUAGAAUACCAGAUGGAUCCUUGAAUUCGUGUGUUCUAGUUUGUUGAAUCAAUACAUUUGCUUUUCAAUCUUCGACAUCUUGGUUGUAAUUCCGCUACUUGUUUGGUGUUUGAUAUCCGAUUGUGUAGUCUUGGGACUUACAAUUGGUAUCAGAGCCUAAGUAGUCUUGCGAAGGCUCGGUUGGAUCGGAUAUCUUGAAGAUUAAAGUGUGUUUUGCUGCUGAUCGGUGUUCAGAUUUGACAAGAAAAGGUUUAAUCCGUUGGUGUGCAAGUUUGGUUGUGUUUGCAGAAUAUUUGGAAAGUUGUUGCAGGAAAUCCUCAAACAAAUUCGGAGAUAAGAUCACCGGAUCUUUCGGGACUUUAGUUGACAAAUCUUGUGAUUGAAAUUUCCAAAACAACAUUAAGUUUCCAAAACAUAAGUGUGUGACUUCAUUGUGCGAGUUCAAGUGUUUUUGGACCUUUGGUUUGGGCUUGGGAAGAGUGUGCGAGCCCAAAACAAGUGUGCGACAUCUGAAACUUAUCGACUUUUAUUUGGGCUUUUAAGGAAUCAGGCACAAUCUUUAGUCAAGUGUGAGAUUCAGAUUCAAGUGUGCGACUUGAAUCUGAGUGUGCAGUCAACUAUUCACUUUGAACUGUGCGACUGAAAGGGCUUGGAUUGCGCGACUAAAAGUUUGGACUGUGCGACUCUGAAGUUUGGACUAUGCGACUCUGAACUGUACGACUAAGUGGACUGUGGAAUUGUUAAGGUUCAUCUGAAAGUGUGCGAGUUUAGUUACUGAACUGUGCGACUUGUAUUUGAACCUUUUUCAAGUGUGCGACUGGUUAGGUUCACUUGAAAGUGUGCGAGUUCAUCUUUGAACUAUGCGACUUGUACUUGAACCUUUCUCAACUGUGCGAUUGCGCCUUGUCACAACCUUCAAGUGUGCGACUGAAGUUUGCGGCCAAUUGGACUGUUUGGAUUCCUACUUGGAACCUUAUAUUGUGUUGGACUGUUUGACAAUUUUUGGACCUUCUGAACUUUUAUUUGAAUUGUAUUGUACCAAUAAAGGCUAUUAAUCAAUUGUUUAAUCUUUAAAA